GAUGCAUAGGAAAGCAACGUGAACAAAGAUCAGAACUAUUCUUCAUUCCUGUUCUCAUUAUUCUUUUGUAUCUGAAAAGCUCAAUAAAAUGUAAAAAACAAAAAUAAUUGCAACAGUUCUUUGUUAAAGAAAAGGGCCAUCUGCUGGUGAAGACAGUUAGGCAACCCAACAAUUUGUGCAUUUUGCCUUUGCAGCUUCAAAAAUGUGUGCAGUCAGUGUACAGCCUCCACAUGCACCCUCCCUGCUCAACAGUCCCCUGCUUGAGGGGAUUAAGGUGGUCUCACAGUUGGUGCUAAGAACUCUCAGGCUGUUGGCCCUGGAUGACUUCAAUAUCCAUAUUAAGGCUAUGACUCAGGACUUCACUGUCCAGUAUGUCAGCAGCCUGAUGCAUGUGCCUGGACAUACCCUUUAUUUGACCUUCAACAUCCCUCUGCCUGAGGUGAUUUGGAAAUAAAGGAUCUAAGCACUGGUCCCACUGUCAUGGUCAAAUCAUGCUCUGUUGAGGCUUUGAUUUCUGGCUCUAUUCCCUCUCUGCAAAAGGAGAGAGACCUAUUAGAAUGGUUCCCUCCUGGAGAAUGAUGGAUGAGUGGUUGCCGGGGAAGAGCCUCUUCUGCAUUGGCCCUCCAUCUGUGGAAUGACUUUCCCAGGUGAUCUACCAGGCAUCUUCACUGUAUACAUUCAGCGAAGGCUGGAUAAGAAAUAAUGGACAAAAGUCCAGCAUCAAUCUCUUUUGACGUGGAUGCCCUCGGUAACAUGGAGUAUAGAAUGGACUGAGCAGAACACAAAACUGUGAAUUUGUGUCUGCAGAGAUCACAUGCCUCCUCUUCAUGCAAAAUUGUUCUAAAAUAAGCAUACAGAGUUGAGAAAAAGACGUUAAUCCCACCGCUCCUUUGGAAGUCUAUGUACACAGAAUCAACCCCUCACCUCAAGU